rnacentral:misc_RNA from 1 species
GGUGGGAGCUGGCUUGCCUGCGAAAGCGGUGGGUCAGCCAACCUUUUUAUAGCUGAUACUCCGCCAUCGCAGGCAAGCCAGCUCCCACA